GACGAACGCUGGCGGCGUGGAUUAGGCAUGCAAGUCGAACGGUAUCAUCCUUUCGGGGGUGAGAGAGUGGCGAACUGGUGAGUAACACGUAGGUUAUCUACCCUCAAGACGGGGACAACCCAGGGGAAACUUGGGCUAAUACCGGAUGUGAGCAACUUUUAGUUGUUUGAAAGGUGGCGUAAGCUGUCGCUUGGGGAUGAGCCUGCGUCCUAUUAGUUAGUUGGUGAGGUAACGGCUCACCUAGGCAAUGAUAGGUAGGCGGCCUUAACGGGUGGUCGCCCACACUGGGAUUGAGAUACGGCCCAGACUCCUACGGGAGGCAGCAGUCGAGAAUAGUCUACAAUGGUCGGAAGACUGAUAGUGCGACGCCGCGUGAACGAUGAAUCCCUUCGGGGUGUAAAGUUCUUUUAUAUGUGAGCAGUGCUUCUUAUAUUAAACAGUAAUGGGGAGGAGAGAUAUUAAGCAUAUGAAUAAAGCAACGGCUAAACUCCGUGCCAGCAGCCGCGGUAAAAGU
rnacentral:rRNA from 1 species